GUAAACGAUGGAUACUAGGUGCUGUGCGACUCGACCCGUGCAGUGCUGUAGCUAACGCGUUAAGUAUCCCGCCUGGGGAGUACGUUCGCAAGAAUGAAACUCAAAGGAAUUGACGGGGGCCCGCACAAGCGGUGGAGCAUGUGGUUUAAUUCGAGUCAAAGCGAAGAACCUUACCAGGGCUUGAACAUGCCGCGAAUCCUUCUUUGAAAGAGAGGGGUGCC
rnacentral:ncRNA from 1 species